rnacentral:rRNA from 1 species
AGGGGAGUGAAAUAGAUCUGAAACCGUGUGCCUACAAGCGGUCGGAGGCCUAUAUCCGCAAGGAGAUGGCUGACGGCGUGCCUAUUGCAUAAUGAGCCGGCGAGUUACGAUCAGCAGCAAGGUUAAGUUCAAGAGGACGAAGCCGAAGGGAAACCGAGUGCGAAUAGCGCGAAUAGUUGCUGGCCGUAGACCCGAAACUGAAGUGAUCUAUGCAUGGCCAGGGGGAAGCAGGGGUAACACCCUGUGGACGCCCGAACCAGUACCCCUUGAGAAGGGUUUGGGUGAGCUGUGCAUAGGGGUGAAAGGCCAAUCAAACUCAGUGAUAGCUGGUUCUCCUCGAAAUAGCUUUAGGGCUAGCCUUGUGUAAUAAUCAUCGGGGGUAGAGCACUGAAUCGCAGAGAGCAUUUACACCAAUGUAUCAACGCGAAUCAAACUCCGAAUACCGGUNNNNNNNNNNNNUCGAGAAUCUCCGCGCCGAAAAUGCUCGGGACUCAAGCAUACUACCGAAGCUAUGGAUUCGGUCGCAAGACCGAGUGGUAGAGGAGCGUUCUAUUCAGCUGCGAAGCGGUACUGAGAGGAGCCGUGGAGCGGAUAGAAGUGAUAAUGUCGGCAUGAGUAGCGAUAAACAAGGUGAGAAUCCUUGUCACCGAAAACCCGAGGUUUCCUGGGCCAGGUUCGUCCCCCCAGGGUUAGUCGGACCCUAAGGCGAGGCCGAAAGGCGUAGUCGAUGGAGCAGCAGGUCAAUAUUCCUGCACCUCGUUGCAACGUUAACUAUGGAAGAUAGCAGGCAGCUAUCCGGAGCGGGUAAUGGAAUACCGUUCAAGCGAUCAGUCCGCGUACAUGCAAAUCAGUACGCACCAGGGCGAAACGUGAGCAAGACUUCGCGAUCACAUCAAGAGGGAUUCUGGAAAAGCCGACUGCCGGGAAAUGCUUUCUAAGGAGGUGCAACGAGUCCGUACCGCAAACGAACACACGUGGGUGGGUAGAGAAUACUCAGGUGCGCGUAAGAACUCUUGCUAAGGAACUCGGCAAAAUAGCCCCGUAACUUCGGAAGAAGGGGCGCCCGGGGGCGUGUUAAAAGCGCUGCCGGGUCGCAGUGAAAGGCUCCAGGCGACUGUUUACCAAAAACAUAGGUAUCUGCAAAGCUAUAACAGCGAAGUAUAGGUGCUGACGCCUGCCCAAUGCUGAAAGGUUAAGGGGAAUUGUUCGGCGCAAGCCAAAGCAAUGAACCGAAGCCCCAGUGAAUGGCGGCCGUAACUAUAACGGUCCUAAGGUAGCGAAAUUCCUUGUCGGGUAAGUUCCGACCUGCACGAAUGGCAUAACGAUCUGGAGACUGUCUCAGCAAGAGAUUCGGCGAAAUUGUAGCAGCGGUGAAGAUGCCGCUUACCCGCAGCUAGACGGAAAGACCCCGUGAACCUUAACUGUACUCUGCUAUUGAGCACUGGUCUUGUAUGUGUAGGAUAGCCGGGAGACUUUGAAACCAGUUCGUCAGGAUUGGCGGAGUCACCCUUGAAAUACCGGCCUUGCAAUAUUAGCGCCCUAACGAUAAGCCCGUGGAUCCGGGUAUUGGACAGUGGCAGACGGUCAGUUUAACUGGGGCGGUUUCCUCCUAAAUUGUAACGGAGGAGCGCAAUGGUACACUCAUUCUGGUUGGCAAUCAGAAGGCGAGCGCAAACGUAUAAGUGUGCUUGACUGUGAGACAGACAAGUCGAACAGAUACGAAAGUAGGCGUUAGUGAUCCGGCGGUAGAAUAUGGAAUUGCCGUCGCUUAACGGAUAAAAGGUACUCUGGGGAUAACAGGCUGAUCGCGGCCGAGAGUUCACAUCGACGCCGCGGUUUGGCACCUCGAUGUCGGCUCUUCGCAUCCUGGGGCUGGAGAAGGUCCCAAGGGUUUGGCUGUUCGCCAAUUAAAGCGGAACGCGAGCUGGGUUCAAAACGUCGUGAGACAGUUUGGUCCUUAUCCUCUGUGGGCGCAGGAAAUUUGAGGAGAGCUGUCCCUAGUACGAGAGGACCUGAAUGGACCGACCGCUGGUGUUCCGGUUAUCCUUCCAAGGGUAUGCGCCGGGUAGCCAUGUCGGGACGGGAUAAGCACUGAAAGCAUCUAAGUGCCAAGCCCCCUCCAAGAUUAGAUUUCCCCAUCAGGCUCGUGGUAGACUACCACGUUGAUAGGCAGGAUGUGUAAGACCAGCAAUGGUUUCAGCUAACCUGUACUAAAGGCACGAUUGGCUUGAUUUA